UGAUUCACCAAUAUGAAUAAAUAAAAUUUUUUACAACCUAACGAUUUCUAGUCAAUAGGUGCCCUGCCAAGGUUAAUGUUAAAAUUAUAUAGCAUUAUCUUUUAUGCUGAUAUUUAUAGACUGAACCAGUUAGCUUGGCAUCCCAUGCAGACUGUUCAGACUAUAUUUAAUAUUACUGUUAUAUUUUCAUGUCACUUGAUAUCACAUAAAAGUUGUGUACGCUUCAUGUGUAAAUGGUAGCAUAAAUCUUGUGUCUUCCUUUCUAUAUCUAGCAACUUGUCUAUUGGUUGAUUACUCAUUAUGUCUUGUGCUGAGCAGUCUAAUAUAAUUUUGAGUAAUAGUUCAUUAUUAAUAACAUUUGCUGUACCACCCCUUUCUAUUUCUCGUAGCAUUUUGAAUAAUUAAUCCAUAUAUCGCUGCCUAACAUCAGAUAGACUUAAGCAAUGUAGUAGGAAAUGUUCCAAGGUUUCUUCAGAUUCAUUGCAUAGCUUGCAAUUUGGUUGAAAAGCAUUUUUACUAAAUUUUGCCCUAGCACUUUGGAGCAUGUAGGUACCAGUUACUAGCUUACAUUUGAAUUCUGCCUUUUUUUUUUAUGUCAUAUUGGUUAUUUCUAACACAUUUCCAAAUGUUAUGUGGAUUAUUGACCGGAUUUUUUUGAAGAGAUAAUCAAACCGGAACUAGUUUUAUUCUCUUUUUCUUUCAAGAUGGCCAUGUCAGGAGUUGGACUCGGUGAUAGCGUUGUAACCACAUAUGACACCAAACUGAAAACGAAGCACUUAUUAGACGCUUUGGUUCUGAAAAUAAAUAAGGAAGAAAAGAGGCAAAUUGUUACAGAACAGGAAUUUGAAUGCGGAACCUUACCCUUUGAAGAACUGAAGAAGUUUCUUCCGCCGAAAGAACCAAGAUACGUUUUAUACGAUUACAACUACACCACAGAAAAUGGACAAAAACAUAGUAAAAUUAUUCUUGUUUCGUGGAGUCCAGAUGAAGCUCCAAUGAAAGAAAAGAUGAUAUAUGCAUCCAGUAAAGACGCUGUAAAAAAGAAAUUACAGGCUAUAAAAAUAGAAGUGCAAGCAAAUGACCUGGGUGAUUUAGACGAGGCAGAUAUUGAAGCUAAAUUGAAAACAAUUUAGGAACUGUAUUGACUGCAUUGUGUAUAAAACUUUCAAACAUAGCUCUUUCUUUAUGAAUCAUAACUUUACUGCUUAAUGAACAAACUUUGUGUCACUAACAAGUGGCAGUGCAGUUAUUCAAAUUGGUGCACUCAUUGACUGUUGCCAUGGAAAUGCCACUUCCUUUAAAGUACAUCAAGAAAUAUCAGCUUUCGUUUAUCCUGCUUCAGUUAGCCGAGUUUGUGUGGUGAAACAUUUGUGUCAGUUUGUUUGCAAGGAGUUUGACCCAGAGAACUUUAAAUCGUGAUGAAUAAAAUUUGUUUCGUUUAAAUUGUUUGUGAAACUGUGUUAAAAGGAAAAUUAAGACUUGAACAUUGAAUUAAUUAAUGUUUGUUAUUUAAAUAUUGUUUUUACUGUACAGUCAUUUUUAUAUGUAUGUUGAAGAUAGGAUUGUCAGUUUAAGACAUAUCUGGUAUGAACAGGAAUACGUCCGCACAAGGGAAAAUUUGUCAAAUGAUGAGAUUGCCAUGAACAAUAAUAGAUAAAAACAGACAAAAACAGUGUAGGAAAUACACAAGAUUUUCUACAAAUUUUUGUAUAAAUGCCAAUUUACAAAUAUCAAAAGUAUAAUUAAACUAUAAAAUGCUGAACAAAGAAAAAAAUUUCCCUCCCUCUCUUUUGUAAAAUGUUUUCUAUACAUGCUAAUCUUUGCUGAUACAUUUAAUGAAUUUGAAUGUUUGUUUUUUGUUUUUAUUUUGCACAAAAUCAUUUGAUAUAAUGUAACUUGUUUUUCUUUAUAAUUGUUGAUGACAUUUGUUAGUACUUUGGCAACAGUCAUUUUCUGUUUCUGUCAGAAAUAAAUUGUAGAACAGGUCUUUUUAACUGAAGACAAGUUCCAGUAUUCCAAUGUGAAUUAUAAAGAAGAAAUAAGCCUCCCACCUCAUUAACUUUGUUUUGAAUUUGUUAAGCUGUCCAGUGAUGGUUAUUUUGUAUGGCCUAAUGUGAAUUACUGUUUAUUUUCACAGAAUUAUAGUGCUUAAAUAUCAUAUCAUAAUGUCCACGACAUAUGUGGAUAGACUUUCAGGGUUGUAUCAUCUCAAUAGCCAUUAUCUUAGAAAAGAGGGAUAGACUUCUGUUAUUUAUAGCAUUAAUCAUUUGCCACUGGACAUUAAGUAAACAUCGAUCGAUCAAUUAAUCUGUAAUUUAAAGGGUUUGCUUGAACAAAUCAUAACAGGAAAAUUUAAUAAAACAAUGGUAUUGAAUUUUUAUUUUAUUAAAAAUAUUUAUGUAAAAAGACAAAGCAAAAUUGAAACGUUGAAUAUUUCUAAAAAAUCUCUAUUUGAAAUUAUCUCUACAUGUGUUUUGUGUAAAACAAAAGUUGUUCAAACAACAAGAAAUCAGUUAAUAUUAAAGCUAGUCAUUAUGAUAUGUGUAUUUUAUGUGAACAAUCAAAAUAUAUAAUGUCUGUGUUUGUUUGUUAGGACCUACUAAGCCAAAGGUAGUAUAGAAAUCUCUCUCUCUCUCACAUAGAAAUGACACAACCCUGUGAUGGAGCCUCUAUUUUGUAAUUUAUUUUUGAUAGAAUGGAAGGAAGCAGGAUACUAUAAUCUGUUUAACAAAUAAUGGGACAAUUAAUAAUCAAUAAAACUUUUGAUACUUCUUA